rnacentral:rRNA from 1 species
UACGUAGGGAGCAAGCGUUGUUCGGAUUUACUGGGCGUAAAGGGCGCGUAGGCGGCCACCGCAAGUCGACUGUGAAAUCUCCGGGCUUAACCCGGAAAGGUCAGCCGAUACUGCGGGGCUAGAGUGCAGAAGGGGCAACUGGAAUUCUCGGUGUAGCGGUGAAAUGCGUAGAUAUCGAGAGGAACACCUGCGGCGAAGGCGGGUUGCUGGGCUGACACUGACGCUGAGGCGCGAAAGCUAGGGGAGCGAACGGG